rnacentral:lncRNA from 10 species
CUUCACUCAGGGCUGUUGCCUUUCUGAAAUAUCUCGAGGUGGCGUUUUCCUCGUACUGGUGACUCCAUGGUAAUAUGGAAGUGCCUUCCCAAUAGUGAGGCUACUACAGGGAUUCCAAGGUGAUUCUUGGACACACCUCUUUCUAGAAAAGAGAAAAAUACAAAUAAAUGUGCUUUCUGGCAGGAAACCCUGAGUUGUAUGGACAAAGCUACCUCAAAGGAAGCCAGACUUGGAACAAUGGACAGGAUGUAGAUAAUCAGAGAGAGGCAGGAAAGUUGCCCAAUCAUAGUGAGUCAGACAUUUAUCGAACAGCUGGUCUGUGCUCAGCUCUGCUCAGGGCUCUUAGGAAUUUAGGAAGGUGGAUACAGAUUUGAUAAGGGAGGCCAGACUUGGGGAAAAUUCAGGUCACACUGCAAGGUAGCAUGUGUUAGGGCCUGCAUCCGUGGUGCAGGGAGUGCCCUAGGAAUGUGGAAGCGGGAGAACUCAGGGCAGAUCAGAUGGGCCAGAGAUCAGGGGUCAAGGGCGACCUUGUACAGGAUAAAGAACUGAGUGGGGGCUAGCAAAGGUAAGUGGGAUGUGGAUGGGAAGAGGGAAGGCCUUCUCAGGUAGAGAAAGCAACAGGAGCAUAGUCUUAGGGGUAGAAACGACGAAACAGAAUGGAUGUGGAGUAUUAAAAGGCAGGGCCAGCUGGUUGUUAAGAGGAGUAGCGGACAAGAGGUUAAAUGAGAAUUGGGAUUGUGAGGAGGGCUGGGAAGAGGAGGUGCAGAACAUCACGAAGUUUCUAAUGGGGUCCAACCUGGUCUGGGAAACAGGAAGAGUCGGGGGCCACAGAGGCAACCCUGGUGGGGUCAGGAGAGGGUUUGGAAAGUAGGAUUAUGGCAGACAGGGGAAGGUCUCAAAAGCCAAGGAGAGGCAACUGCUGUUUGUUCCCCGUGCAUUUCACAUGGUGGAGCAUGAAGCCAUCUCAUGUAGGGAAACGACUUAUUGCUGGUGAGGCCCUGGGAAGAUCCGUGUCAUGGCCAUUUGCAGGCUGGAUUUGGACAGAAAGGAAGUGGAAGCGAGGCAGCCAGUUAGGGAGAUGCCGAGAGAACCUAAGAGGGGCAUUACGCAUCCUGCACAGCUGGGCCCGGGUCCCAGGAGGAGGACAAAUGCAUUCGUGCGGUUGAUUUCCUGUGUCUUACCCCUCAGCUGCCAGAGGCUACCUAGGUGUCACUGCUGACAUUCCUCCAAGGGAGAGCUUUAGGCUUCCGCAGGGAGAAAAUGCCUGUAUAAGUUUUAAUCGAAAGCAAAUAUGAGACGAUGCUAUCAUUUUCAAAGUAUACUUGCAUUUUCCACAUAUUCAUUUCAAGCUAAUACCAGCUUUUUCUGUUCUCCUUGCCCUCUUUUUAACACUUUUAAUGUUCUUCUAUGAGUUUAUUACAUUCAAACUACUUACAG